AUUUAAACAAAAUACAUUACAGGUCCUUUGUUACCGAAAACAUUGUAAUUAAGAAGCUGCUAAACAUGACUGCAGCACAGACAGAAAGCUGAUCAUUUGUAUUACUCGUAUAGUAUGAGAAACAUUUUAUUCAUGCUCAUGUAAAAUUUCAUAAUAAAUAUGACACUUUAUACCCAUUACAUAUAGCAUUUAAUGUGUAAUUGGUUUAGGGAUUUUAAAUACUGUUUCUGUAUUGUUAAUCAGGUGAUAAACAUGCAUAAAAUAUGUUUGCUGAAAAAGAUGCAAUGACUGAUAAUUGGGUUUGACUGUAAGAUAACUGUUUAUUUUACGGUUCUCUGAAGUAAUGGUCCCAAAAUAAUUUCAUUAGGACCUACAUAAGUGCAAAUUACUUUUUCAAUUGAAGAUGCUGAGAAGAGACUCGGCAAUGUCCUUGUCUAUUAAGACAUUUUACAUUCUUCUUUCCCCUUGCCCUUCCCUUUCCCUUUUCCACUUUUUUUAGAUUCUUUUCUUUCAUCUUCCUUGUUUCUUUCUGUGGUUUCCUUCUCAACUUCCUGAUCUCCUGAAAUACUUGACACCUUGUUGUCAUGUUGAAUGGAACUAUUGAUCUCUUGGCCUACAUUUCUUUUCUCCAUCUCUGAGAUCAGAUUAACUCCUUCACUGAGCGUCACGUUUUCUGAUGCCUGCUGAUGCUCCUCAAAUGCAUCUUCUUUAUUUCCAGAAGUAUCAUGCUGCUGAUCAUUAGGUUUGACUUCACUGCUGAUUUGGCUUUCCUCUGUUAAACAUCCUUUUAUAACUGUUGUUGUUUGUGGGUUUUCUGUGUCUUGUCCAUCAUCUUUCUGCUCCUUUGGCUUUGAUUCCUGAUCUGCAAGUUCUAGAUGUUCUUUUUGAAUUUGGUCCUCAUCAGUGACAUUGCUUUGGUUUUCCUGGCUUGCUUCUUGGACAUCAUCUUUGAAAAGAGUCUCUUCCUCUUUUGGCUGAUCUAGAAAGUUUUUUAGAGGGACAUCUGAUGAUGCUUCAAGAUCCAUUUCAUCAAAAUCAAAUGAUUCUCCUUCAUCUUCCUCUUCCUCGUCUUCUUCCUUGAGCUCUUGAGCAGCCACAUCUGACUUUACCAGAAGGUCUUCUCCAUCUUCAGGCAGUUGCACUUCAAGCUGAUUUUGGAUUGAUCUGUCCUCCUCAUCUUUUUCUACCUUGGGUUCUUGUUCAGAAGAAUCUGACUCUCCAACUGAUUCCUUAAUUGCUUCAUUGGGAGACAGGUGAUCUUCAUGCACAACCUGAACCUGUGUUUCAAUUAAAGGAGUGUUGUCAACAUGGCUUCCAUCGGACACUUUUUCAGUAGGCGCUUUAAGGUUUUCUUUAUCCAGUUCAUCUUGUCUCUCAACCUCUUCCUGGUCCAAUUCUGCUUUAAUACUGUCUUGAGUAUCAGACACUUUUUCAGUAGGCGCUUUAAGGUUUUCUUUAUCCAGAUCAUCUUGUCUCUCAACCUCUUCCUGGUCCAAUUCUGC